rnacentral:rRNA from 1 species
GAUGAACGCUGGCGGCGUGCCUAAUACAUGCAAGUCGAGCGAACAGACGAGGAGCUUGCUCCUCUGACGUUAGCGGCGGACGGGUGAGUAACACGUGGAUAACCUACCUAUAAGACUGGGAUAACUUCGGGAAACCGGAGCUAAUACCGGAUAAUAUAUUGAACCGCAUGGUUCAAUAGUGAAAGACGGUUUUGCUGUCACUUAUAGAUGGAUCCGCGCCGCAUUAGCUAGUUGGUAAGGUAACGGCUUACCAAGGCAACGAUGCGGAGCCGACCUGAGAGGGUGAUCGGCCUCACUGGAACUGAGACACGGUCCAGACUCCUACGGGAGGCAGCAGUAGGGAAUCUUCCGCAAUGGGCGAAAGCCUGACGGAGCAACGCCGCGUGAGUGAUGAAGGUCUUCGGAUCGUAAAACUCUGUUAUUAGGGAAGAACAAAUGUGUAAGUAACUAUGCACGUCUUGACGGUACCUAAUCAGAAAGCCACGGCUAACUACGUG